rnacentral:rRNA from 1 species
CGAACGCUGGCGGCAGGCCUAACACAUGCAAGUCGAACGCCCCGCAAGGGGAGUGGCAGACGGGUGAGUAACACGUGGGAACGUACCCUUUCGGUUCGGAAUAACUCAGGGAAACUUGAGCUAAUACCGGAUACGUCCGAGAGGAGAAAGAUUUAUCGCCGAAGGAUCGGCCCGCGUCUGAUUAGCUUGUUGGUGAGGUAACGGCUCACCAAGGCGACGAUCAGUAGCUGGUCUGAGAGGAUGAUCAGCCACACUGGGACUGAGACACGGCCCAGACUCCUACGGGAGGCAGCAGUGGGGAAUAUUGGACAAUGGGCGAAAGCCUGAUCCAGCCAUGCCGCGUGAGUGAUGAAGGCCCUAGGGUUGUAAAGCUCUUUUACCUGGGAAGAUAAUGACUGUACCAGGAGAAUAAGCCCCGGCUAACUUCGUGCCAGCAGCCGCGGUAAUCUGAUGGCGCGAGG